AACGGCCGCGGUAUCCUAACCGUGCGAAGGUAGCGUAAUCACUUGUUCUUUAAAUGAGGACUAGUAUGAAUGGCACCACGAGGGUUAAACUGUCUCCUUUUUUUAAUCAGUGAAACUAAUCUCCCCGUGAAGAAGCGGGGAUUCUUUUAUAAGACGAGAAGACCCUAUGGAGCUUUAAACAAGUUAACACCUGCUACUAAUCUUCACUUUCCUGAACCACCACAUUAAGUAUAGCACCUCUGAUUAACAGUUUUCGAUUGGGGUGAUCAUGGAGCAAAAAUCAACCUCCACGACGAAUAAGGAACACCUCCUUGAGCCAAAAGCUACAACUUUAAGCACUAAAAAACUAACGCACUUUGACCCAAUUCUUUGAGCAACGAACCAAGUUACCCUAGGGAUAACAGCGCAAUCCACUUUAAGAGCUCCUAUCGACAAGUGGGUUUACGACCUCGAUGUUGGAUCAGGGUAUCCCAGUGGUG
rnacentral:rRNA from 1 species